rnacentral:misc_RNA from 1 species
GACAGAGGGUGCAAACGUUGUUCGGAAUUACUGGGCGUAAAGCGCGUGUAGGCGGCUUCGCAAGUCGGGUGUGAAAUCCCAGGGCUCAACCCUGGACGUGCAUUCGAAACUGCGUAGCUAGAGUCUCGGAGAGGGAAGCGGAAUUCUGGGUGUAGAGGUGAAAUUCGUAGAUAUCCAGAGGAACACCUGUGGCGAAGGCGGCUUCCUGGACGAGUUACUGACGCUGAGACGCGAAAGUGUGGGGAGCAAACAGG